UCAGUCGGCCCGGCGGUGGGAGUUAACAAUGUUGGCUCUGUGUGUAUAGUGAUAAGCAGCGGUGAUGGCAUUGACUCGCCCCAGAAGGUCCUCUUCCCUCCAGAGCGGCUCAACCUGAAGUGGACCCAGGUUCAGCGCAUUGGUGCAGGCCUGCAGAACAUGGGGAACACCUGCUUCCUCAACUCAGCCCUGCAGUGUCUUACCUACACCCCUCCGUUUGCCAACUACUUGCUGACGCGGGAGCACUCCAAAACAUGUCACGAGCCGGGGUUCUGUAUGAUGUGCACCAUGCAAAAUCACAUCAUUCAGGUUUUUGCAAACUCUGGGAAUGUCAUUAAGCCCAUUGGGGUGCUCAAUGAGCUCAAAAGGAUUGCUAAGCACUUCCGCUAUGGAAGUCAGGAGGAUGCCCAUGAGUUCCUGCGGUACACAGUGGAUGCUAUGCAAAAGGCCUGCUUACCUGGGACCAAAUUGGACAGGCAAACGCAGGCAACCACUUUCAUCCAUCAAGUCUUUGGCGGGUACCUAAGGUCCAGAGUUAAAUGUUUAAACUGCAAAGCAGUCUCCGAUACAUUUGACCCUUUCUUGGAUAUAACUCUCGAAAUUAAGACAGCUCCCAGUGUCUCCAAGGCUCUGGAGCAAUUUGUCAAGCCAGAACAGCUGGAUGGAGAAAACGCCUACAAGUGCACCAAGUGCAAAAAAAUGGUCACAGCCUCAAAGAGAUUUACCAUCCAUCGCAGCUCCAAUGUGCUCACCCUCUCACUCAAACGCUUUGCAAACUUCAGUGGAGGCAAAAUCACAAAGGAUGUGAAAUAUCCAGAGUACCUGGACCUGCAGCCCUUUAUGUCUCAGUCUCAAGGGGAGCCCCAGGUCUACGGGCUGUAUGCUGUGCUGGUCCACUCUGGAUUCAGCUGUCAUGCUGGACACUACUUCUGCUAUAUUAAGGCAAGCAAUGGGCAGUGGUAUCAGAUGAACGACUCCUCUGUGUCUGUCAGUGACAUCAGGUCUGUUCUCAACCAGCAGGCGUAUGUCCUUUUCUACAUCAAGUCCAGUGAUGUGAAAAAAACAGGGGACUACAGCCACAUGAGCCAUAACCCAGGCGUCCCCGGUCAGUCGUCUCCACGACCGGUGGUGAUACCACGCGUCAACACCACCGUCCACCAAAACAACAUCGGCUUCAUCGGUCCCCAGCUGCCACCACACAUGACCAAGGUACUGCAGACUCUAAUAUUUGAAUGUUACCCAUUUGAGAUAUAUAUUCCAGUCACCAGCAGCAGUGUUAUGGAAAAACCAAGCCAUGGACUGGCAUCUUCCUCUUCUUCCAUCUCCCACUCAAUCAGCCGGCCCACAAUGAUCCCAGACCACGACAAGCGCCAGAAGCUUUCAUUCUUCAUUGGACAAGGCAAACCGAACCGGCCGUCCUCCUCCUCGUCCUCUUACAGCCAGCCGUCCUCUGCCGCCAGCAGCAGCAGCUCAUCCUCCUCCAGCUCUUUAUCCUCCUCUCAGUCUACCUCAGACGUUCGCUUUGUUCCACGUCAGCUUAACCACAUUAACGGCACGUCUUGCAGAAACGGGAACCACCACACAGGAGGGAAUGGAUCGUCGUUCUUGGUGCCGUACGGCCAAGAGUCUUCAGAGGAAUCGGACCAGGAGAACUGUGGCACUCUGGAUAACGGCGGUUCAGCCAAGUCUCGUUUUAAUGGAAACGGCAGAACGGGAGAGACCUUUAAUAAUUCUUCUCAAGCCACCAACGGAGAAUCGGGAGUACACCACAACGGUUACGGAUUAAAUGGACCAACCAAUGUUUUAUCAAUUUGCUUUAUUCUCACAUUUUUACAGUAUACACAGACGUUGCACCCCAAAAGUGUGAUACCAAGCAAUAUUUAUUUGCUUAUGCAUUUUGUUUGUUUUUUUUCUAGCAAAGAGGCCCAUCAUUCUUCCUCAUCCCAGGCCAGUUCUUCUCAGAGCAUCCAUCCUGCUGCCAGCGAAAGCCAGCAUCUCUCCACUCCUGACACAAGGGCUAAAGCGGUGUCUGAACCCCUGCAUCAGCGUACAGCGUCCACCGCCGUUAGCUCUCCACCUUCAGCUACAAAGACCCAUUCUGUCACAUCUAGGGAAUCGGCUUCCUCUUGUGCCCAGCAUGGCAACCCUGCGGCCUUAUCCAUCCCGCCAGAGUGCUCCCAAAGCACCAAUGGGGUCUCUGCAGCUCCACAGAAGGUUAGCAGAGGUGGGGAGAAAGCAAAGGACUCACCACAGACCAGUGAUACGUCAGCAGGCACUGAAAGACGCACAGAUGCUAAGGAGCAACACCAGUCCAAGCCCAGUUCUAGAGGCAAUGAAGGACAAACUUCCCGAGACAGGGAGAGAGACAGACUGUACUCUGACUGGAGCAGAGACAGGGAGAGACACGACAGGGAGAGACACUACAGAGACAGGAGUGGAGAAAGUGACAGUGAUCACCUUCGGCACAGACGGGACUCCCGGGAUCCUCACCGUCGCUCGUACAGGGAUCGUAUGCCUCCUUACGAUCGUUCCUACAGGGACUGGGAGUCUGAGCGUCGCUGGGAGCGGAACGUCCACCACCCCAGGGAGCGUGAUCGCGACAGGUGCUCUCACCAUUACCACCACUAUCAUCACCACCGGUCCAGAGAGGACUGGGACCGCGAGCGGAGGGGACACGGUUAUCCCUAUCGCGAGGAGUCUCAUAGUCGUGGGCGGUGGCAGCAGGAGAGUCGAGAACCCCGGGUGAUGAAGGACAAGAGCAACGGCAGAGAGAGGGACCGUUAUCCGUCAAAAGAGGAGACUUCCUCGCCUGCCACAGAGCGAGAAACCUCCACAAAGUCCAAGGACUCGCCUCCUCGGGCUCGUCUCUCCUCGUUUGAAUCGGCUCCAAACAGGGAGGACCAGAAUCACAGGACUGCUGGUCCGUUGAGCAAGGAGAGGGAUGACAGCUCUGAGGCCCGCCGCUCUAAAAAACACAAAAAGAGCAAGAAAAAGAAGAAGUCAAAGGAUCAAGACAGACACCGCGAGAGCGGGUGA
rnacentral:lncRNA from 1 species